rnacentral:rRNA from 1 species
AGUGGCGGACGAGUGAGUAAUGCAUGGGAAUCUGCCUAUUAGUGGGGGACAACACGGGGAAACUCGUGCUAAUACCGCAUACGCUCUUAGGAGGAAAGCGGGGGAUCUUCGGACCUCGUGCUAAUAGAUGAGCCCAUGUCGGAUUAGCUUGUUGGUGGGGUAAUGGCUUACCAAGGCGACGAUCCGUAGCUGGUUUGAGAGGAUGAUCAGCCACAUCGGGACUGAGACACGGCCCGAACUCCUACGGGAGGCAGCAGUGGGGAAUUUUGGACAAUGGGGGCAACCCUGAUCCAGCAACGCCGCGUGAAUGAAGAAGGCCUUCGGGUUGUAAAGUUCUUUUGUCUGAGAGCAAAAUCUUAUGGUUAAUACCCAUAAGCCUUGAGAGUAUCAGAAGAAUAAGUACCGGCUAACUACGUGCCAGCAGCCGCGGUAAUACGUAGGGUGCGAGCGUUAAUCGGAAUUACUGGGCGUAAAGAGUACGUAGGCUGAUAUAUAAGUUAGGUGUGAAAUCCCAGGGCCUAACCCUGGAACUGCACUUGAUACUGUAUGUCUAGAGUUUAUCAGAGGGAGGUGGAAUUCCAAGUGUAGCAGUGAAAUGCGUAGAUAUUUGGAGGAACACCAGUGGCGAAGGCGGCCUCCUGGGGUAAAACUGACGCUGAGGUACGAAAGCGUGGGGAGCAAACAGGAUUAGAUACCCUGGUAGUCCACGCCCUAAACGAUGUCUACUUGCUGUUGGAAAUUUAUUUUCAGUAGCGUAGCUAACGUGUGAAGUAGACCGCCUGAGGAGUACGGUCGCAAGAUUAAAACUCAAAGGAAUUGACGGGGACCCGCACAAGCGGUGGAUGAUGUGGAUUAAUUCGAUGCAACGCGAAAAACCUUACCUGCUCUUGACAUGCUGGGAAGUUUCCAGAGAUGGAUUCGUGCCUUCGGGAACCCAGACACAGGUGCUGCAUGGCUGUCGUCAGCUCGUGUCGUGAGAUGUUGUCUUAAGUGACGCAACGAGCGCAACCCUUAUCACUAGUUGCCCCAAUUAAGUUUGGCACUUUAGUGAGACUGCUAGUUAUUUAACUAGAGGAAGGUGGGGAUGACGUCAAGUCCUCAUGGCCCUUAUGAGCAGGGCUUCACACGUCAUACAAUGGUAGGUACAAACAGAAGCAAACUCGCGAGGGGGAGCAAAUCAGUAAAACCUAUCUCAGUCCGGAUUGUAGUCUGCAACUCGACUACAUGAAGUCGGAAUCGCUAGUAAUCGUGGAUCAGAAUGUCACGGUGAAUACGUUCCCGGGUCUUGUACACACCGCCCGUCAAACCACGGGAGUGACGGAUACCAGAAGUAGUUAGGCUAACCGCAAGGAGGCCGAUUACCACGGUAUGUUUCAUGACUGGGGUUAAGUCGUAACAAGGUAGCC